rfam:Ipomoea nil DNA, scaffold: scaffold1101, cultivar: Tokyo-kokei standard.
GGCCUAUUAGCUUCAGUUGGUUAGUGCGUCGUGCUAAUAACGCGAAGGUCAUAGGUUCGAGACUUGUAUGGGCCA